AAACCACCCCCAGUUUGAGGAUAUAAAUGCCUCAAACCUAAUAGCACCACUCUGGGAAGUAGAGGAAAAGAAGAUGAUGCACACCCAAAAAGGAGAGCUGGGCCACAGCGACUAAGCCCCUUCAAGAGUCUAAGCAUUCUGCUGGGUGCUGGAGAGAACGUGGAACAAAACAGAUGAAGUCUUUGCCCUUACAGAGCUUCCAGCCCAGUGGGGGUGAUGAGACACAAAUAAAUAAAUAAGAUCAGUACGAA